AACAUGAGAGUUUGAUCCUGGCUCAGGAUGAACGCUGGCGGCGUGCUUAACACAUGCAAGUCGAACGGACCCAUAUUGAAACCURGUGAUAUAUGGGUUAGUGGCGGACGGGUGAGUAACGCGUGGGUAACCUGCCUUACACAGGGGGAUAACACUUAGAAAUAGGUGCUAAAACCGCAUAAGCGCACAGCUUCGCAUGAAGCGGUGUGAAAAACUCCGGUGGUGUAAGAUGGACCCGCGUCUGAUUAGCUUGUUGGCGGGGUAACGGCCCACCAAGGCGACGAUCAGUAGCCGGCCUGAGAGGGCGGACGGCCACAUUGGGACUGAGACACGGCCCAGACUCCUACGGGAGGCAGCAGUGGGGAAUAUUGCACAAUGG
rnacentral:rRNA from 1 species